CUAGGGCCCAGUCAGUUAAGCAUCUGACUCUUGAUUUUGGCUCAGGUCAUAGUCUCAGGUCUGUGAGAUCCAGCCCCGCAUUGGCCUCUGUGCUGGGCAUGGAGCCUGCUUGAGAUUCUCUCUCCCUUUCCCUCUACCCCCAUCCCUCUCUUAAAAAAAAAAUUCUCCACUGGGUUUCCAUUUCAAGAUUGAAUUUAAUAUUUCACAAGAAGGGUUUAGUGCCAUCUGUAGGGGUGAGGAGGGGAGUGGGGUGGGAUCCUCUUGUUCAAACACUCGGAUUCCCACUGUCUGUGGCACGGAGUCUACUCAGUGACCAGCCGGGUCAUUUGGGGCCCCUCUCCUUUGCUCCCACUCUUAAGGAUAACAGAUGGCAGGGAGGUGCAUUUAUAAAGGUCGAGGCUCAAAUAAUAAAGCUCUUCCUUUAUUUUCUCCCCCCUCAAACACAAACACAGAAAAUGCACGGCUCCACAGGAAGCUUGGGAAGGAAUCCUGCUCUGUGGGAAGGCUAGGUGGGGCAGGGGAAGAAGAGGAAACACAUCUGCUUGGCCUUUUCUUUACAAAAGGCACAAGAGCAAAUACUCCAAUUCCUGAGCCUGCGGGCCCCUCUGACAGACUUUCCGUUUUACAACGAGCUCCCCCACGUGGUGACUUCUGAGAAAACCUGGACUCGGCUCUCCUGAAUCCUUUCUCGGUGUGGAAGGUGGUGAGGAAUGGUGCGCGGGAUCUACUGGAGAACAGGCUGGACCAUAUCAAAGUCCUACUGUUCCUGAUUCCAGUUAGCCCUUUAACUGCCUUUAAUUUCUUAUCCAGAAAAAACUAGUAAUGGGGGAAUGACUGGAACGAUGCAGGCUCUCUGGUGUAAAUACUGGAUAGACACCCUCCCCUGCCCUGCCCCACUCCUCCCCACAGGUAGCUGUCUUUUGCGCCCCUGUCCUCUUCCCCUUGAACUGUGGGCAUUGCUCAGGUGGUACUUAUUCUACAGAACUCCUGGUGUUGGGCACUGGCAAACAGUUGGGGUUCUGUAUUACAGGACUUCUCAGGGCCUUUACAGUACAAAUGGGCAUUGUGAAGUUUCAAAGAAGUAGCUACCAUGUGCAGAAUAGCCUAACUCUUACACAUACAACCUCACUUACAAGGGAGGUGUUCUGUGGACCACAUUCUGGGAAGACUGAUCUAGUUGCAGCUGGCAAAGAGCUGGCGGUAGUUAGCAGUUAUCAGUGAAGAAUGCUUGGAAUCUGAAGUUUAGGAAUAUGAAGUUAGGAAUAUUCCUAUGGUCUCCUUGUUGACUAAAUGGGCAAAAUCUUCCCCUUCUUCCUACUAGGCUGAAUUUGGAAGUCNCGGAAUCUGAAGUUUAGGAAUAUAGUUCCUAUGGUCUCCUUGCUGACUAAAUGGGCAAAAUCUUCCCCUUCUUCCUACUAGGCUGAAUUUGGAAGUCUUUGGUCCUGAAUACUUCUUUUUCAUCUCUGGUUUUCUGCUGGGCUUUAAAUGGACAAAUGCGUAUAAAACAGGGAUCUGGGCAGCCCCGGUGGCCUAGCAGUUUAGCGCCUGCCUUCAGCCCAGGGUGUGAUCCUGGAGUCCUGGGAUCGAGUCCGAUGUCGGGCUCCCUGCGUGGAGCCUGCUUCUCCCUCUGCCUCUCUCUCUCUCUCUCUGUGCCUCUCAUGAGUAAAUAAAUAAAAUCUUUAAAAAAAAACA
ensembl:lncRNA